rnacentral:SRP_RNA from 2 species
GGCAGCCCCUCACGCGGCGCUAUCUCGCUGAACUCCCCCAGGGCCGGAAGGCAGCAAGGGUAGGUGAGCUCUGGCGGGUGCGUGGGGGGCGCUGUGCUG